UGGCGGCGUGCUAACACAUGCAAGUCGAACGAGAAAGUCCGCAAGGAUGAGUAAAGUGGCGACCGGGUGAGUAACACGUGACUAACCUACCUUCUAGUGGGGGAUAACUCCGGGAAACCGGAGCUAAUACCGCAUAACAUCGCAAGAUCAAAGCAGCAAUGCGCUGGAAGAGGGGGUCGCGGCUGAUUAGCUAGUUGGCGGGGUAACGGCCCACCAAGGCGAAGAUCGGUAUCCGGCCUGAGAGGGCGCACGGACACACUGGAACUGAAACACGGUCCAGACUCCUACGGGAGGCAGCAGUGGGGAAUUUUGCGCAAUGGGGGAAACCCUGACGCAGCAACGCCGCGUGGAGGAUGAAGCCCCUUGGGGCGUAAACUCCUUUCGACCAAGACGAUAAUGACGGUACUGGUGGAAGAAGCACCGGCUAACUCUGUGCCAGCAGCCGCGGUAAUACAGAGGGUGCAAGCGUUGUUCGGAAUUAUUGGGCGUAAAGGGCGCGUANGCGGCGCGACAAGUCACUUGUGAAAUCUCCGGGCUUAACUCGGAGCCUGCAGGCGAAACUGUCGUGCUGGAGUAUGG
rnacentral:rRNA from 1 species